UACGUAGGGUGCAAGCGUUAAUCGGAAUUACUGGGCGUAAAGCGUGCGCAGGCGGUUGUGUAAGACAGAUGUGAAAUCCCCGGGCUCAACCUGGGAACUGCAUUUGUGACUGCACAGCUGGAGUGCGGCAGAGGGGGGUAGAAUUCCACGUGUAGCAGUGAAAUGCGUAGAUAUGUGGAGGAACACCGAUGGCGAAGGCAGCCCCCUGGGUCAAAACUGACGCUCAUGCACGAAAGCGUGGGGAGCAAACAGG
rnacentral:rRNA from 1 species